AUUGAACGCUGGCGGCAGGCCUAACACAUGCAAGUCGAGCGGAUGAAGGGAGCUUGCUCCUGGAUUCAGCGGCGGACGGGUGAGUAAUGCCUAGGAAUCUGCCUGGUAGGGGGGGAUAACGUCCGGAAACGGGCGCUAAUACCGCAUACGUCCUGAGGGAGAAAGUGGGGGAUCUUCGGACCUCACGCUAUCAGAUGAGCCUAGGUCGGAUUAGCUAGUUGGUGGGGUAAAGGCCUACCAAGGCGACGAUCCGUAACUGGUCUGAGAGGAUGAUCAGUCACACUGGAACUGAGACACGGUCCAGACUCCUACGGGAGGCAGCAGUGGGGAAUAUUGGACAAUGGGCGAAAGCCUGAUCCAGCCAUGCCGCGUGUGUGAAGAAGGUCUUCGGAUUGAAAAGCACUUUAAGUUGGGAGGAAGGGCAGUAAGUUAAUACCUUGCUGUUUUGACGUUACCAACAGAAUAAGCACCGGCUAACUUCGUG
rnacentral:rRNA from 1 species